rnacentral:misc_RNA from 1 species
UCUCCGUAGGUGAACCUGCGGAGGGAUCAUUACUGAGUGAUGGCCCUCGUGGUCCGACCUCAACCCCUUUGUGAACACAACUUGUUGCUUCGGGGGCGACCCUGCCGUUUCGACGGCGAGCGCCCCCGGAGGCCUUCAAACACUGCAUCUUUGCGUCGGAGUUUAAGUAAAUUAAACAAAACUUUCAACAACGGAUCUCUUGGUUCUGGCAUCGAUGAAGAACGCAGC